ensembl:lncRNA
AUUCUCUCUUUAUCUUUAAUGCUUGACAUUUUAAUUAUAAUGUGUCUUAGUGUGUGCCUCUUUGAGUUUAUCUGGUCUGGUACUCUCUGUGCUUCCUGUACUUGGAUUUCUGUUUACUUCCUGAGGUUGGGAAAAUUUUCAGCUGUUAUUUCUUUGAAUACAUUCUCUGCCUUUUAUCUCUCUCUUCUGCUUCUGAGACACCUGUAAGAUGGAUGUUUGUGUGCUUGAUGUUGUUCCAGAAGUAUCUUAGACUAUCCUUGUUCUUCUUAAUUAUUUUUUCCUUUAUCUGUUCAUCUUGGGUGAUUUCCUCUAGUCUUUCAUCCAGUUUGCUGAUCUGUUCUUCUGUAUCAUCUACUCUGCUAAUGAUAGCCUCUAGUGAAUUGUUCAUUUCCAGGAUUGUAUUCUUCAUUUCUGAUUGGUUCUUUUUUAUAUUUUCCAAUUUUUUGUUGAAGUUCUCACUAAGUUCAUCCAUUCUUCUCCCAAGGUCAGUGAGCAUUGUUAUGACUUUUCAUUUGAGCUCUUUGUCAGGUAGAUUGUUUAUUUUUUUUCAUUUAGUUCUUUUUCUUGCUGUUUUCCUGUUCCCUUACUUGGAAUGUAUUCAUUUUCAUCCUCAUUUUGCCUCUUUCUCUAUUCUUAUAUCAAUUUAUUAGGUAAGUCAGCUAUGUCUCCUGAUCUUGGAGAGGUGGCCUUAUGUUAGAGAUGCUGUAUGAGGCCCAGCAGUGUGCUUCCCUCUCAUCACCAGUGCCAAGUGUUCUAGUGGUGACUCCUGUGUGUCCUCCUGUUGUGUCAGGGUUGCUCUUGCUGCAGGUGCCCAGGGAGGCUAGGCUGUUCCCCUGGCCAAUUGGUUGUAAUGUUCUGCUGUGUGUAACUGCUAUGGGCCCUUCAGUCCCUUUAUCAUUCAUGGGGUGCCCCAGCACAGUUGGCUGCAAAGUCUAACAGCACAUUCAUGUUGUAGUUUUUCUGUUAAAUGACUAGGCCUCCAGAAUGGCUGAUUGCUAGGCUGAGGGGCUUACAAUUGCUGUAUGCCUCCAGCCUACAAGGCUCCUGUCAGCUUUCUCAGGGUUGUGCCUGAGUGGGGCUGGCCCUAGCCAUGGGAGCACUCAAUUGUUUCAGGUUUUGGAAGGUGGGGCCAAUCCCCUAUGUAGCUGUCUGAGAAGAACAAGUCUUUUGCCACUGGCAAGCCCCACCACCCACAGGGCCACACAAUCUGUCAACAGAGUCCUGCCCCACGUGUACAACCUCACCCACUGAAGCAGACCCAGUUGUCCCAGUGCAGAGGCCCCACACAUUCCACCAGUGCCUGACACACUCCACCUGUUCUUUGUGCGUGCCCUUCCCCUCAGAGGUGGACACACUUACUGGGCUACAGAGGAUCCAGGCACCCAGCUAUGCAUGCCCACAAGUUGCUUGAGGGCUUGCUGUUGGGUGGUGCCAGGCUUUAGGGCAGGCUGCUUGCCCCAGCUGAGCUGAAUUAAAUUGGCUCCCUAGUGCACAGGGCAAAUCCUGGGUUGACAGGCCAGUGGAAGAACACCAAUGACAUCUGCCAGCAUCUGUGUCAGUAAGCCUGAACUAGGUCACAAUAAUGGCUGACGCCAAUGUCUCAGUCCCUGGAGAAGUCUCACCUCUCACUGAGAUGCACCCAGAGCCUAUUAGAUUCGCCCUGAUCUAAAAUCUGCUGCCAAUCCUCCUCUUUUUUGCUGAGGAAGACCAGCCCUGAGCUAACAUCUGUGCCCAUCUUCCUCUAUUUCACGUGGGACGCCUGCCACAGCACGGCUUGAUAAGCGGUGGGUAUGUCUGCACCCAGGAUUGGAACCAGCGAACCCCGGGCCACCAAAGUGGAAUGUGAGAACUUAACUGCUGUGCCUUCAAGCCGGCUCCGGUGAAAGACUUUUAACAUUGCAUAGAGGUGAUAGUGGCAUCCGAAUUCUCUUCAUGUUUCUAUCAGUAAAAUAAAAAUGACCAUGCAUUCCAAUAUAUAUGUAGUGGAAUUUAUAAAUUCUUUGCAUUUAUCACCUCAACAUAUUAAUCUAUUUGGACAUUAAACCAUGUAAACGUGGAAAUUAAAAGGAAACUCAAGGAGAGGGUGUAUAGAGGGAAGACAAGAGGGCCUACUACUCACCUUGGAGAAAAAGCGCGGACAAAGAAAAGAAGCCCCUGAAGGAGGAAGGCAAGUCAGACGAAGAGGACAGCCAGGAGAAAAUGGAGCCAUCGAUUUCAUGUGAAAAGAGAGUAGUAAGUGUGCCACCUGUUACAGAGAUCAAACAAAGCACAGUCUGAAAUUGGUCAUCAGAAAUGAAAAGCGAUUGAUAAAGUUCCAAAAGUGGUUUCAGUUAACCAGCAAGUGACAGACACCAGUUUUUGUGGGU